rnacentral:rRNA from 1 species
AAUCAACGCUGGCGGCGUGCCUAACACAUGCAAGUCGAGCGCGAAAGGGGAGUAAUCCCCAAGUAGAGCGGCGAACGGGUGAGUAACGCGUGGGUGAUCUACCUCCGAGUGGGGAAUAACCCCGGAACCGUAGGGCGUAAUACCGCAUGACAUCCCUCGAGUCACAUCGGGGAGUCAAAGACCGGGGGACCCGGCCAAGG